rnacentral:rRNA from 1 species
AUAUCAAUAAGCGGAGGAAAAGAAACCAACAGGGAUUGCCCCAGUAACGGCGAGUGAAGCGGCAACAGCUCAAAUUUGAAAUCUGGCCCUUUCGGGUCCGAGUUGUAAUUUGUAGAGGAUGCUUUUGGCAAGGCGCCGCCCGAGUUCCCUGGAACGGGACGCCACAGAGGGUGAGAGCCCCGUCUGGCUGGCCGCCGAGCCUCUGUAAAGCUCCUUCGACGAGUCGAGUAGUUUGGGAAUGCUGCUCAAAAUGGGAGGUAUAUGUCUUCUAAAGCUAAAUAUUGGCCAGAGACCGAUAGCGCACAAGUAGAGUGAUCGAAAGAUGAAAAGCACCUUGAAAAGAGGGUUAAAUAGUACGUGAAAUUGUUGAAAGGGAAGCGCUUGUGACCAGACUUGGGCGCGGCGGAUCAUCCGGGGUUCUCCCCGGUGCACUUCGCCGCGUCCAGGCCAGCAUCAGUUCGUCGCGGGGGAAAAAGGCUUCGGGAACGUGGCUCCCCUGGGAGUGUUAUAGCCCGUUGCGUAAUACCCUGCGGUGGACUGAGGACCGCGCAUCUGCAAGGAUGCUGGCGUAAUGGUCACCAGCGA